ensembl:lncRNA
CCUCGCUCCGCCCCGUCUCUGGGACGAGUGGUCGCGCGGCACUGCCGUGCGGGAUGAGAUGUAGUCCCGCCUCUGGGGCCGUGCCCAGAAACGCGGCUCGAGGGGCGGUAAUUGUUGCUCCUUUCUGCUCGUUGUGCGUGGUUUUUUUUUUUUUUUUGUUUUUUUUUUUGUUGUUGUUUGUUUGUUUUUUUAUUGCAGGCUGGUGUUUGUCUGCCUGUGGUUUUGCGGGGCCUUUCACCCGCGCUGUUAUGUGGUGCUUUGUUUCUGCGCUCUCAGCUUCUGUGGGAUGUGUGAAUCCCCAUUACCUGACAGAGGGAGUAAGCAAGUGAAUGUGUGGUGUUUAGCAGGCUACCUGGGUUAACACAGAACAAAAUGGAAAUUGCAUUGCAGUUAUCUACCUGCAGAGUUUCAUGUUGUGAAAUGGACACUGGAUUGGAUUAUUACUGAAUCUUGAAUAAGCUUGUAUCCCAAAUCAUAGACUUGUUCCUGAAAGAACACACUGAAUGCACUGAGAGUAUUUUAAAGGGAAGUCUUCUAUAUUUUAACAUUCAGAUCUGUGUCUUAUUCUACUUUUAAGCCUACAAUUUUUAUUUUUAUUUUUUAUAUACAUUUGCAUUUAUUUUUCGUACUUUCACAGAAUGAGGAUGAGGUUGGAAAGGACCUCUGGGUCCAUCUGGUCCAACCCCUGCUCAAGCAGGGACUCUAGAGCAGGAUGCCCAUGACCGUGCCCAGGUGGCUUCUGAAGAUCUUCCUGGAGGAGAACUCAGUCACCUGCACAGUAAAGAAGUGCUUCUUGAUGUUCCAAUGGAGCCUGCUGUGUUCCAGUUUUUGCACAGUGCCUCUUGUACUGAGGCUGAACAUCACUGAAAAGAGCCUGGCUACAUCCUUUUUGCACCCUCCCGUCAGCUAUUUCUACAACUGUACUGCAAAUUCAGUCAUGGAACAGAUCUACUCUGAAAUGAGAAAGGAGCAUGAAGAAGUCAACCUAAUAUUCAUUAUGACCAUUUCAUACUGGGAAGCCAUGUCCUAAAGGAAAUGCAGAUGGAUUACACCUUUUGUAUCCCAGAAGACAGUGCACAUCUUCUGGGACGUGCACUACUCACUGAGGGCUGUUUCUUGAACCUUUUCUUCACUGAGGAAUUCACAUGUCACUACUCUGUGAACUGCUGUUUUUUUUACCUCUGGCUUGUAGUGAUGACUCCACAUCUCAUCACCAGUAAUCAUGUGAUCCAGGAAUCUGCCACCUUCAGCCUCUUAAUGGUUCGAUACAUCCAGAAAAACUUGCAUAUAGUGUUCUUUUUGUUCCCAUGUGUACAUUCAUGGGACCCACUCAGCACAGACUUUGUGAUAUUCCAACAUUGUUGCUAUCAUUUCCAGUGCAUUCAAAUCAAUAUUCAGCCGUGUACACAGUUCCCUGGUUUUAAUCUGCUGAUUUGUGUGGGUGAGCUGAUCAAGAUGCUGUUCAGUUAAUGACGUGACAGCUGUGCAUGGCAGUUUGGUACAUGGCUUGUCUUUAAUGUUGCUGUUGCCACUGCUGAAACAUGCCACCCACUGCCUCACUGCGCUCACAUCCAAUGUCC